UACGAAGGGUGCGAGCGUUAAUCGGAAUUAUUGGGCGUAAAGGGUGCGUAGGCGGUUUGGUAAGUCUGAUGUGAAAUCUAUGGGCUCAACUCAUAGUCUGCAAGGGAAACUGCCGGGCUUGAGUGUGGGAGAGGUGAGUGGAAUUUCCGGUGUAGCGGUGAAAUGCGUAGAUAUCGGAAGGAACACCUGUGGCGAAAGCGGCUCACUGGACCACAACUGACGCUGAUGCACGAAAGCUAGGGGAGCAAACAGG
rnacentral:rRNA from 1 species